UACAGAGGGUGCAAGCGUUGUUCGGAAUUACUGGGCGUAAAGCGCGUGUAGGCGGCUUGAUCAGUCAGAUGUGAAAUCCCUCGGCUCAACCGAGGAACUGCAUCUGAUACUGUCGGGCUCGAGUGCGGAAGAGGCGAGUGGAAUUCCUGGUGUAGCGGUGAAAUGCGCAGAUAUCAGGAGGAACACCGAUUGCGAAGGCAGCUCGCUGGGACGUUACUGACGCUGAGACGCGAAAGCGUGGGGAGCAAACAGG
rnacentral:rRNA from 1 species